rnacentral:rRNA from 1 species
GACGAACGCUGGCGGCGUGCUUAACACAUGCAAGUCGAGCGGUAAGGCCCUUUCGGGGGUACACGAGCGGCGAACGGGUGAGUAACACGUGGGUGACCUGCCCUCAACUCUGGGAUAAGCCUGGGAAACCGGGUCUAAUACUGGAUAUGACUCCAUGACGCAUGUUGUGGGGUGGAAAGCCUUGUGCGGCUGAGGAUGGGCCCGCGGCCUAUCAGCUUGUUGGUGGGGUGANGGCCUACCAAGGCGACGACGGGUAGCCGGCCUGAGAGGGCGACCGGCCACACUGGGACUGAGACACGGCCCAGACUCCUACGGGAGGCAGCAGUGGGGAAUCUUGCGCAAUGGGCGAAAGCCUGACGCAGCGACGCCGCGUGAGGGAUGACGGCCU